rnacentral:lncRNA from 1 species
AUUAAAAGAAACACAAACCAAAAGGCAGAACGCACUCAGUGCCCCUGCAACAUCUCUGCUUAUUCACAGGCCAUUUCAAAUCAGCCAAGUUAAACACUGCCCUGCACUAUCCCCACACUCAGUACAUUUCCCAAGGACACAGUUUAAAGGCUUUCAUCAAGGCACAGCUUAAUUUAUUUGUUUGCUUCUCCCCUUGCUCAGGAGAAAGCAUUUUUGUUUAAAUGGGGAGAAUAAAUAGUCUCCUGACCCUUCUCUCUGCAGCACGUGCUCCUGCACUGCCCUGUGUUUAUAAGGCUAAUGGGGGAGAAUGCUGUGGGAGGCCCUUGUUAAAACACUGGCAGUGCCUUCCCUUUUGUAACAGGAUGAUUCAGGGUUGCAUUGUGUGUGCAGAAGCAGGAAAAGGAAGAGGAGGCUAAUAAAAAAUAUCCAUUAUCGGAGCUUUCUGUGCAUAAGGACAGACGGGCAAAAUGCAGGGAAGACAACAAAUACCUUGGAAUAAAGAGCCCAUGAUGGAGAUAAAUAAUCAUGGGGCUCAUUCAACAAGAGCCUGCUGUUUAGAAAUCCACUGGAACAGCUGCAGCUUACACGUCAUUAUACUUCUGAUCAGUGAGCAUUAGGAGCCUUUUUGUGAGUCCCUUGUUUGUUAUAUCAAUCAUUGCAAAACAGACUCUACAGACAUAAAACCACACAGGAAACAUGGGGACUUCUCCUCACCCCAACUUUGGUAGUCAGUCUCCAUUUUAAUAUUUUUAACUCCACCCCUUUAUUUUUCUUUUCUCCAGUGUUCUGGUGUUAAAUGUACAUCUUUGUCAUCAGGCCUGUAUGGUUUUCUCUUGGCUUUUUAAAUCAUCUGUUAGUAGAGUUUGAUAUCAUAUCACACCUUCUGGCUUGGGAGACACUCAUGGAAACCUGGAACUAUAAAGGAGCAGAGGGGAAAAACCAGUUUCUAGCACAACCAGUGCAGGUUUGGUGUACCACCCACAGAUCUCACCUGGCCAUUCUCCACCUCUGCCUGAUUUGCUGCAGACCUUGUGGCCCUUCCAGCUGCCUGGGGAGGGACAUCUCUGCAGGGACAGAAGUGACCUGUGCUCUCUGCACAGGGUGCAGCCCGUGGUGCUGGCCACUGCUCUGCCCAUCCUGCUGCAGACACGUGGAUACAGCUUUAAGUGUGGGAUCCUCUGGAUGCUGAACUCCUUCUCGCAGGUCUUCUCCAAUUUCCUCUCUCUCCUAGACUAUUAACUUCCCAACAGUGUAAGGGUGACAGCACGGCCUAUCUAAGCAGUGGUUAGCCAUAGCUGAGCAGGCAAUCUGCAUGGAAAAAUGUAACAUGCUGUGUUUCCAAAAUGUUUGUUAAAGAUCCUGUGUGAGAUAACAUAAUAUUACUUAGAAAAAUGAUGUGAUAUAAUUAAAAAGGUCUCCUCCUCUACCCCCACUGCCUGCUAUUAGUUGUUCCCUGCUCUCCUUGGAGCUCUCUGGCAGCACACAAGCAAAUAAGCAGCAUCAAUCACCUACAUUCACUUUGGUUUUCUUUUUCAUCCUUGUUGUUUAAUUUAAAAAUGUCCCAAAGUUGUUAUUGUGUUCCCCCCACUCCUAAUAAAU